GUUAACUUUUUCUGCUAGGGAGACCACUUUGCUCAGAAAUGAAAUUGGCAGGAUGUUCUUCGUGUAUUUUUGUGAGCAAAUAGCUGCUAUAUAGACAUCAUAAUUCCACAAUGCACCCUUGAUUUGUGGCUGAUAGCACGCCAGGUGUACUCAAACCACAUACUGCUGCUACCUUCUAAGGUAGCAUGGUGUGCCUGCCUCAUGUUGCAGACCACAUCGCCCUCCAACAUCCCUCUAGUUAGGGCACUUGACCCACUUCCCCAUGCAGCAGCACUCACUGAUGGACAACAGUUGUCUACCAACAAACUACUACAUAAACCACCACUACUAGGCAAGGUGACAGGCUCUGACUGUGGAGGUACAAAGCAGCCAUCCAGGUGUGUAGCCUUCUCCUCCAUGAAUUUGUCUAAUCCUUUUUUAAACCCAUCUAAGUUGGUGGGCCUCAUGGUCUCUUGUGGGAGAAAAUUCCAUAGUUUA